GCGAGCGGGGCGGUGUCUGUAAAUAGCGGGGAGGGGCGAAGGUGUUUCAGAAGCGUAAAGAGACGCCGUGGCUGAGGCAGGCCCUGCGACGACGGCGUCGGCCUCCGAGCGCAGCCGAAGCGUGCGCCCCGAGGAGCCGGGCAUUCUUAGGAGAAUGCUGUUUCUGUACUCCUGACUUCCCGUCACGCCAGGGACACGUGGCUUGGAGCACAGCAGCCGGAUUCCUCACUUAGCCGUGUCAGCUUGGUGCAGGUUACGAAUUACAGGGUGACUUGGAAACCCAGAAACAAAGGGAAGAAGCUGGAUGGGGAAGAAAGGCUGCAGAGCUUCCUGCAACGGGCUGCGAGCGCAAAGAGCGAGGAGGCAGCGGAAGACCGGACUCAGGAAUCGGAACGGUUUUCUUGGGUUUAAGAAGCUCGAAUGGCGCUUCAAGACAUUUAUAUCAGACCUGGUUUAAUUUCAUUACCCUUUUUUUUUACAUCCACAAAAAAACCCCAACCCUCCCCCCCCCCCCCACCUCCAGGAUCCAUCGCUGCUGCUGCCGUGCGUGACGAGAAGCCGUCUUCCCUCUGCCCGGAGCAGCUGAGAGAUGGAGCAGCACCCCAAAGGACUUUCUGCUCAGUGAUUAUAGCUGAGUUUUAGUGGGAAUUCUCUGAGCAAUCUGGUGGAUUGUGCUUGAACGUGGCCGUGAGGGUAGCUGAGCACGGCAGUCCGGAUCUGCGAGCCGCGGUGCCGGAGCUCUUUGAAAGGUCGUGGGGGAUGCAUUCAUUCCAUUGAAUCCCGGCCCUGUGCUGUGCCCAGGCCCUUUGUACAAAGAGGGUACGGGGAGAAACCAGAACUGCACGUUGCUUGCGAUACGUAUGGAGUUUUGAAAGCUUUAGUUCUAGCUAAUAAAAGAAGUUAGUUUGAAAAAAAGCCAAA